GAUGAACGCUGGCGGCGUGCCUAACACAUGCAAGUCGAACGGAGAUUACGGACUUACGUUUUCGGUUGGAAGACUGUAAUUGUUAGUGGCGGACGGGUGAGCAUCGCGUGGGCAACUUGCAUCAUAAAGGGGGAUAGCAGCUGGCAACGGCUGGGAAGACCGCAUAAGUCGGUGUUAGCGCAUGGUCUUGCCGGGAAAUGCGCAAUCAGGUAUAGGAUGGGGUCGCGUCCGAUUAGCCAGUUGGCAGGGUAAAAGCCUAGCAAAGCAUGGAUCGGUACCCGGGAUGAGAGACCGGGCGGCCACAUUUGCGCUAGGACACAGUCCAGACUCCUACGGAAGGGAGCAGUGGGUGAUAUUGCACGAUGGAGGGAGCGAAGAUGGAGCGACGCCGCGUGAGUGAAGAAGUAUGUCGGUAUGUGCAGCACUAUCAGCAGUGGAGAUGGUGACGUUACCUGACUAAGAAGCCCCGGCUAACUACGUG
rnacentral:rRNA from 1 species